AGAGCGAACGCUGGCGGCAGGCCUAACACAUGCAAGUCGAGCGCCCCGCAAGGGGAGCGGCAGACGGGAGAGUAACACGUGGGAACGUACCCUUUGGUUCGGAACAACACAGGGAAGCUUGUGCUAAUACCGGAUAAGCCCUUACGGGGAAAGAUUUAUCGCCAAAGGAUCGGCCCGCGUCUGAUUAGCUUGUUGGUGAGGUAACGGCUCACCAAGGCUACGAUCAGUAGCUGGUCUGAGAGGAUGAUCAGCCUCACUGGGACUGAGACACGGCCCAGACUCCUACGGGAGGCAGCAGUGGGGAAUAUUGGACAAUGGGCGCAAGCCUGAUCCAGCCAUGCCGCGUGGAUGAUGAAGGCCCUAGGGUUGUAAAGUCCUUUCGGACGGGAAGAUAAUGACGGUACCGUAGAAGAAGCCCCGGCUAACUUCGUGCCAGCAGCCGC
rnacentral:rRNA from 1 species